rnacentral:rRNA from 1 species
GACGAACGCUGGCGGCGUGCUUAACGCAUGCAAGUCGAACGGAAAGGCCCUGCUUUUGUGGGGUGCUCGAGUGGCGAACGGGUGAGUAACACGUGAGUAACCUGCCCUUGACUUUGGGAUAACUUCAGGAAACUGGGGCUAAUACCGGAUAGGAGCUCCUGCUGCAUGGUGGGGGUUGGAAAGUUUCGGCGGUUGGGGAUGGACUCGCGGCUUAUCAGCUUGUUGGUGGGGUAGUGGCUUACCAAGGCUUUGACGGGUAGCCGGCCUGAGAGGGUGACCGGCCAAAUGGGGACUGGGAUACGGCCCAGACUCCUACGGGAGGCAGCAGUGGGGAAUAUUGCACAAUGGGCGGAAGCCUGAUGCAGAAACGCGGCGGGCGGAUGACGGCCUUCGGGUUGUAAACCGCUUUCGCCUGUGACGAAGCGUGAGUGACGGUAAUGGGUAAAGAAGCACCGGCUAACUACGUG